rnacentral:rRNA from 1 species
AUGCAUGAUAUUGCACCUGCCGAAAUAGAAGGUAUUGAUAUUACUAUUAAGCUUGCCAAUAGAGAUAUUAUUUCACCGAUUGGGAUUGUUAGAGAUGUUGAAGUCUUGUGUGGGAAAAUAAAAUACCCUACUGAUUUUCUUGUUCUUGCUUCCCCACAAGAUGACUUUUGUCCCAUUAUAUUUGGUAGACCCUUCUUGAAUACUGUUAAUACAAAGAUAAACUGCAAAAAGGAUAUUGUUACUGUUGGUUUAGGGGAUAUGUCUCAUGAUUUUAAUUUUGUAAAUUUUGUAGACAAGCCCAUGAUAAAGAAUUGCCUAGUAAAGAUGAAACUAUUGGUCUUGCUUCUAUUGUCGUGCCUCCUAAUGAUCCUUUAG